rnacentral:rRNA from 1 species
UCCUGGCUCAGAUUGAACGCUGGCGGCAUGCCUUACACAUGCAAGUCGAACGGCAGCACGGGAGCAAUCCUGGUGGCGAGUGGCGAACGGGUGAGUAAUGUAUCGGAACGUACCUUUCAGUGGGGGAUAACGUAGCGAAAGUUACGCUAAUACCGCAUAUUCUGUGAGCAGGAAAGCAGGGGAUCGCAAGACCUUGCGCUGAUUGAGCGGCCGAUAUCAGAUUAGCUAGUUGGUGAGGUAAAGGCUCACCAAGGCGACGAUCUGUAGCGGGGUCUGAGAGGAUGAUCCGCCACACUGGAACUGAGACACGGUCCAGACUCCUACGGGAGGCAGCAGUGGGGAAUUUUGGACAAUGGGGCGUCAAGCCUGAUCCAGCCAUGCCGCGUGAGUGAAGAAGGCCU